UACGUAGGGUGCAAGCGUUGUCCGGAAUUAUUGGGCGAAAAGAGCUUGUAGGCGGUUUGUCGCGUCUGCUGUGAAAUUUCGGGGCUCAACCCCGAACUUGCAGUGGGUACGGGCAGACUAGAGUGUGGUAGGGGAGACUGGAAUUCCUGGUGUAGCGGUGAAAUGCGCAGAUAUCAGGAGGAACACCGAUGGCGAAGGCAGGUCUCUGGGCCACUACUGACGCUGAGAAGCGAAAGCAUGGGGAGCGAACAGG
rnacentral:rRNA from 1 species